UACAGAGGUCUCAAGCGUUGUUCGGAUUCACUGGGCGUAAAGGGUGCGUAGGUGGCCAGGUAAGUUCGAUGUGAAAUCUCCGGGCUUAACCCGGAAAGUGCAUUGAAUACUAUCUGGCUAGAGGGUUGGAGGGGGGACUGGAAUUCUCGGUGUAGCAGUGAAAUGCGUAGAUAUCGAGAGGAACACCAGUGGCGAAGGCGAGUCCCUGGACAACUCCUGACACUGAGGCACGAAAGCUAGGGGAGCAAACAGG
rnacentral:rRNA from 1 species